rnacentral:lncRNA from 1 species
CAGAAGAUCAAUAACAAAUUAGAAAAACCCAGGGUUUCUUUUGUAUGUAGUGUUUUGUUUUCUGUCCUUAAUAAGAUCCUCAUAUUUUUAAAACUUGUGGAGGUCAUCUGUAAGGACAGGCUUCUGCUUUUCAUCAAGCAGCUGCUAUCCUUUUUUCUUUAGGGUUGUUCUGAAAUGGCCUCUUUAAAUUUCCCACAGUAUUUUUGGGCAUGGAAAUGAGGUAGGGGCGGGAGAGAGAGGAGAAAUUCUGCAACAGUUUCUCCAAGGCAGAGAUGGGUGAAUCUGUCUUUUUAAAAAAAAAAAAAAAUAACUUCAUAUUGUUUUAUAUUUCAUACAGCAAUAGGACAGGAAAAAUAGCAGCAACAAAGGAUACAGGGGAAAGCAAUACUUCUGUAGUGUGUUCCAAGUUACAGUCAGUCAAAUGGAAGAGUUUUUCCAGGAUAAUUAUGUACCAAUGGAGAAUGGCAUUCAUGUACAAGAGGAGCAGAAUAUUGUACAAAAAAAUUAGGGACAAAAUUCGGAUGUGUGCUGAGUCCUCCUGUCUCUUAAUCGCCGAGCCAAUUUAUCCAUGAGAGCAAGUUGCCAGGUUUGUUCAUGCCAGUCCUUUGUCACAUCUGCUUCUAAGGAUCUCCAAAAUUCAACUAUAGUCAAUUUUGUUGCUGUCAAAAGAAAUAGGAGGUGCUCCUGGCCUCUGUGGGAAACUAUGUAUGAUUGCCAGUUAGUGCAUGAAGGGGUUAAGACAAUAGAGCUGGAGUCCUAGACUCAGCUAGGUCAUGCCCUGUCUUUUCCAAUGAGAGGAAGUAAAGCCUUCUCUUCCUGUUCUCACUCCCUCUACACCAUUUAACUGACCAAGGAAUACAUGCCUAAAGCAAGUUCCGAGCUUAGAACAUGUGUUUGAAGCUGUCUUCCUGUAUUUUCUGCCCAAGAGCAUUCUGCCGGUGUUCUCCUUGCUACUGCUUGGAUAAAUGCAUGAACCUGACCUUUGGAACAUUUUGUAAGUAAAAUAUUUAAAAAGUGUGUGGUCUUUUCAUUGCAAGAAGGGUAGAAAGAGGGGAGCACUUUGCAAAGAGGCUAAAUGGGACAAAAGGUUUAACAGCCUACAUUCCUAAGGCUUCACUGUGCUGCUUGACUUUGUGAGGUUAAACUCUGCUACUGAGGACUCUCUCCUGUGGGAGAGUCUGCUUAGCCCUGCAUUUUGAAUCCAGGCACGCAGCCAAUUAUUUUGUUAUUCACCCCACACACAUGGGUCACAGGGAUUCAUAUUUUUCCUCCCACGGUCUACUCCUACUCUUGUUCCUGAUCUUUAUUCCCCCAUUGUUCAUAAUGUAGAUAUUCACUCACCCCUUCUUUCCUGGCAGGGAAAGGCGAUGCAAUUUUGUGUUUCACCUCAGGUGCAAAAAUGUCUUGGGCCAGCCCUGCUGCUACCUCAGUUCAUGUCUGCACAGCCCACAAACCUGAUAUAUACCUUACUUUGCUGUGUCAUUUCAUCCGCUUUUUGACUCAGAGGAACGGUGGCUGCAUUCACAGUUGGCUCUGCCUGCCACUGGUUGCCAGCUAUUAAUAUGUUUGUCAUAAGUAUUUGAAACCUGUGAAAAUGCCAGGUUUCACAGUGACUCAGAGCAAAGAUGCAAUUGGACUUAGCAAUGAGAGCGAUCACCUUGAAUAUCCUCUGGCACCAAAGCACCUGUCUUCUUCAGCCCAAGUAAGUCGUGUCCAUUUCCAUUAGGUUCACCAGAUUCACAGGAAGCUGUUUCAUAUUGAAUCAGACCAUUGGUCCAUCUUGCUCAGUAUUGUCUACCUUGAAAGGCAAUGGCUCUCCAGGCUUUUGGGUAGGGCUCUCUCCUAGUUGCCUUAUGCUGAGUCAGACAAGUGGUCUAUUUAACUCAGUAUUGUCUACACUGACUGGAGUGAUUUCAUUUCUAGCCUUCCUGGAGGUGCUGGGGAUUGAACCUGUGACCUUCUGCAUGCAAGGCAGAUGUUCUACCACUGAGCCACAGGGCUUCCCCUCACUCUUCCUUCAAAAGUGUCCUGUUGGUGUCUGCUCUGCCGGUAGUUUUCCAUGAGAGAUCUCUUUUGUUAUGACCCCAUUACCCUUUCACAUGCUUCUAUGGUACUUACCUACAUUUUAUACAUAAUGUAAUUUGUUCAUAGAACUUUUUUUUAACAGCUAUUUCCCCAUCUAGAACUGGUGAAAAACAUCCCCGACCACCACUGCACUCUGAAGAUCCUGGCGCAAUAAGUUUCUAAAGCCAUGUGAGCAUUCGCCUGUUGGUGAGUAACGGUUGUGAAGCGCUACAGAUUUUAUCAAUGCAAAGGGCAUUUUCAAAGCUGAAGUGGUAUUCAACGAGACCUUUCCUCCCACAGCAUCUGAUGUUGUUUGCCCUUAAUUGCAUCUCUUAUGCACGCCAGCCUCUUAUUUAUGACAACAGGAUGAUAAUCAACAUAAAAAGCCAUUGAGCUAAUACUAAGUGUGCUGAAUAUAACCCAAGGCAGGGAAGGAGACAAGUGGAUCAAGAAGCAGCUCCUGCUCCUAUGACAUCUGGCAAAUGCAAGAGAUUAAUUCUCCAUGUCUUUAGGCUCUCGAAGAGUGCUAUAGAUGAAGAAAUGGCUGGUGCUUAUUGAUAAGACAUCUGCUAACUUUUGUUUCCUGGGGAGUAUGCUGGAAUGAAUGAAGCGAAGAAGCUGUCUCAGCUGCAAUUACCUGGAUGAUUUUUGGUUUGGUUUGUUUAAGUGGAGAGGAGAACAGGAAUGAUUUCAGCCUAGCAAGGUGCUUCUGCAAUCCUAACUCCACAAUUCUUACAGAGCUGGUAAACCGUUCAUCUGAUAUACCAGUAGGAAACUCAUUCAUCCAAGUACCUAUCCUUCUGUAGCAUCUCAGGUUAGGUUCAAUCUCCAGCAUCUUCACGCAUGUCUUGGGAGAGACUCCUGCCUAAAAUCCUGCACAGCCACUGCCAAUCAGUGUGUACAUACUGAGCUAGAUGGGUCAAUAGUCUCAGUAUAGGGCAGCUCCCUGUGUUUCUAAGUCAUCACUUAAAUCUUGGCUGUGAAAAAUGCUCAGGUGAACAGCUAGGUUUUUUGCAUGCACCAGAACAUCGUCACAGAUGGAGCCCAUUGUACCUUAGCGGGAGGUGGCUCUGGAGGCCGGACAGAACAGGACUGCCCCCUGGUCAUUAGAAGAUGUACCUGCACAGGUGCUGGAACAACCUUAUUUGCAGAUCUCAGUGGAUGGACUGGACUAUAGGGGAGAAGACAGUUGAUGAAUUAAGAGGGCCCCAAGUUGUGUAAGGCUUUAGAUGUCAGUAGCAACACCCCAAAUUAGGCUUGGUAGCAAAUGGGCAGCUUAGAGACUUGGGAAUCUGUGCCAAAACUCCAUUGUUUUUUAAUUUACCACAAAGCAGGCAUAUUUAUUUAUGUAAAUUGAAGCUAAUGGCAAUAGAUGGGCUUCUCUUAAUGUUGACAAGGUACACCUAAGUGGGAAGACAGACCUAAUUUCAUUUCCACUGGACAGCAAUAUUUAUGAAUUUUAAUGGUUUUGUGUCAAAAGUUUGAUACACAAAUUAUGAGAGUGUUACUUAAACAAGGCCACAUUUUUAAUUAAGCAGGAACCUGAAACCAGCAAGCUAGCUGAGCGAUUUGC